CUCUCCUCUGCCUGUCGCUUUCUGAUCUCUUCUUGACAGAGAACCAGCUUUUAGCCUACCACGUCAAGAUGUCUUACUGUGAUACUGUCUGCAAUGUCCCCGCUGGUCUUGGAUCGUGCUACGGAGGCCGACUGUGGCCAUCCUAUGGCCUUGGCUCCCUCUGCGGAACAGGUCUUGGAACCCUGUCUGGUGGCUGGUCUGGUCUUGGAACCCUGUCCGGUGCCAACGUCGCCUGCACUGAUCAGCUUGCAGGGUCUGAAGUGGUGGUCCAGCCGCCUCCCUCUGUGGUGACCAUGCCAGGACCCAUUCUGUCUGCGACGUCUCAGCCUGUUGCAGUGGCUCAAACAUCUUUUUCGGGACUGGGCUCCCAAGGGCUUGCCCCUCAGUAUUCUAGUGGCGCUUUGGGGGGAUAUGGAAGGUCAGGUUUAUAUGGUGGUAGUUUGUAUGGAGGUGGUUUGUAUGGUGGUGGGUUAUAUGGUGGUGGGUUAUAUGGUGGUGGGUUAUAUGGUGGUCUGAGAAGAUACGGCCAGAGGUGUCUGCCCUACAGUGGCUGGGGUUAUGGUGCCUGUGUGCCUUGCGCGCCUUGUGGUCCUUGUUAAAUCCUGGCCAUUGUCUACAUGGAUAUGAAAAACCUGGAAAUGAAAGCCAGAUGAUGACCUUGGACUCCGAGUGGACAUUACAUGCUGAGUGUUGGAAAUUCAGAGCAUGUACCAUCUCCUGUUUUAACGAAUGGGAUCUGAUGGGUGCUCAGUAUCUCUGAAAUCAUGCCAUGAUUAUGUUUUUUUUCUUCUUCUGUUACUCUCUUCUUCUUGCUGUUUUGUACAAUAUUUCUUACAAUGUUUCCCAUGGAUGUGACCAUCUUCUCCUAAACAUUGCUUAUGACGCUGCUGUGAAACGCAUUGAUUGAGUGGGGAAAGUCUCUCUGUCCUGUUUCUUAUUGAUAGAUGGUAUUUUGUCUGGGUCCCUGCCUUUCCUUUUCUCACAAUAAAGUGUGACGCUGCUUCAUCA